ACUGGCAGUCACUGCUCAAGUCUUGAAACAGAGAAGUCACUACUUGUGAGUGAAGGUGGACUUUUCCAUUAUAGAGUGUCAUGGUUUAAAAAACAAGCAAACAAACAAAUGGAAAAAAGUGAGUUUUUAAAAAUUAAGAUGAAAUUUGCCCUUGACUUCAUUUCCUGGCUGUGGGCCCGCUGGAGCUGUGCAGCGACACCUGCUCCCACAGCAGCGCUGAGUUCCUCUGUCAGGCCACCGGUUUCUCCUCGCAGGGAUCCGAGGGAAAAUACGGACACUGAUCCAGGGAGCCCAUAGCCCACGGGCAAGGCGGAUCCCUGACAGUGGGCAAGUCUACAAGGCAGCCAGAAACAGAUGACAAGGAGGAGACCCAUUUGUGCCCAAUACAGAGGACAGUCACCAGUCACCCUCCUUGUGUUCAGAAUUUGACGGCUCCCUGCUGAGGUCCAAACAGAUAAACCCAUGCGUUGAUUAAAAAAUAAUAAUAAUAAAUAAA